GAUGAAGAACGCAGCGAAAUGCGAUACUUGGUGUGAAUUGCAGAAUCCCGUGAACCAUCGAGUCUUUGAACGCAAGUUGCGCCCGAAGCCAUCAGGUUGAGGGUACGUCUGCCUGGGCGUCACAUAUCGUUGCCCAAUGCCUAUUGCAGUGCAAUAGGAAUUUCUAGGGCGAAUGAUGGCUUCCCGUGAGCGUUGUUGCCUCGCGGUUGGUUGAAAAUCGAGUCCUUGGUAGGGUGUGCCAUGGUAGAUGGUGGUCGAGUUAGAACGAUACCGAUCAUGUGCAUGCUCCCCAAAAUAUGGCCUCUAUGACCCACACGCGUCUUUUGACGCUCAUGACGAGACCUCAGGUCAGGCGGGGCUACCCGCUGAAUUUAAGCAUAUCAAUAAGCGGAGGA
rnacentral:misc_RNA from 1 species